UACGUAGGGGGCAAGCGUUGUCCGGAUUUAUUGGGCGUAAAGAGCGUGUAGGCGGCCACACAGGUCAGCUGUGAAAACUCGAGGCUCAACCUCGAGACGUCGGUUGAAACCGUAUGGCUAGAGUCCGGAAGAGGAGAGUGGAAUUCCCGGUGUAGCGGUGAAAUGCGCAGAUAUCAGGAGGAACACCAAUGGCGAAGGCAGCUCGCUGGGACGGUACUGACGCUGAGACGCGAAAGCGUGGGGAGCAAACAGG
rnacentral:rRNA from 1 species